rnacentral:ncRNA from 1 species
UUGUUUGAACUGACGCUUUUCCGUAAGAUUUAGUUCCUAGUAUAGUAGCUCUCUUAUUAUCUUGUAAUGCACCGGCGACAAUCUCAGAUGCAGAAGCUGAUCCUUCAUUUAUAAGUACAACAAGUGACAUUCCAUUUGAUAUAUCUCUAGCUGUUGCUUCAUAUUUCAAUUCAGAGUUCGAUGAUCUCCCUUUAGUUUCUACGAUUUUACCAUUUUGCAAAAAUAAAUCGCUUAUUCCUACUGCUGCCCCAAGAACACCACCUGGAUUAUUUCUUA